rnacentral:rRNA from 1 species
UAAGGAAUAUUGGUCAAUGGACGCAAGUCUGAACCAGCCAUGCCGCGUGAAGGAUGAAGGUCCUCUGGAUUGUAAACUUCUUUUAUCUGGGACGAAAACGGGAUUUUUAUCUCAAUUGACGGUACCAGAGGAAUAAGCACCGGCUAACUCCGUGCCAGCAGCCGCGGUAAUACGGAGGGUGCGAGCGUUAUCCGGAUUUACUGGGUUUAAAGGGUGCGUAGGUGGGCUUAUAAGUCAGUGGUGAAAUCUCUGAGCUUAACUUGGAAACUGCCGUUGAUACUAUAGGUCUUGAAUUAUCUGGAGGUAAGCGGAAUAUGUCAUGUAGCGGUGAAAUGCUUAGAUAUGACAUAGAACACCAAUUGCGAAGGCAGCUUACUACAUAUAAAUUGACGCUGAGGCACGAAAGCGUGGGGAUCAAACA